rnacentral:rRNA from 1 species
UACGGGAGGCAGCAGUGGGGAAUUUUGGACAAUGGGCGCAAGCCUGAUCCAGCCAUGCCGCGUGAGUGAAGAAGGCCUUCGGGUUGUAAAGCUCUUUCGGACGGAAAGAAAUCGCGCAGGCUAAUACCCUGCGCGGAUGACGGUACCGUCAUAAGAAGCACCGGCUAACUACGUGCCAGCAGCCGCGGUAAUACGUAGGGUGCGAGCGUUAAUCGGAAUUACUGGGCGUAAAGCGUGCGCAGGCGGUUGAUUAAGCAGGCGUGAAAUCCCCGGGCUUAACCUGGGAACUGCGCUUGUGACUGGUCAGCUAGAGUACGGCAGAGGGGGUGGAAUUCCACGUGUAGCAGUGAAAUGCGUAGAGGAUGUGGAGGAACACCGGAUGGCGAAGGCAGCCCCCUGGGGCCGAUACUGACGCUCAUGCACGAAAGCGUGGGUAGCAAACAGGAUUAGGAAUAACC